rnacentral:antisense_RNA from 1 species
GGAAUUUAAAAAUCCAAAUGUUACGGAAUAUUACAAAUAAAAAACGAUGAAUAAAGAGAUGCAAGAACUAAAAGAAGACAAAACAUACACAAGGGUUAAAAUCAAUGGGAUACAAUAUGGUGGCCACGACUGGACUUGAACCAGCGACCACUACCA